GCUGGUGGAGAGACCAGGUGAUUUUCUGGGUGGUGCGACGGGUGUAGAUUUUGAAGGUUUCGUGUCUUGAACGAUGACACUUGUGUCAGCUUCAUUUCAUUGGCGUAGAGGUCAAGGCGUCCAAACUGUUUUUCAGAGGUGAGGAGAGAUGUUUCUAUUGGGGGAGUAGAAGAUCAGCCACAUGACUUUUACAGAUCUGGUCUGAGGUCUGUGUUUUGAACAGCAACAAAAGUUCUAUUUCCAUUCCAUGACCCAAUCUGGGGUCACUGCCCACCUUUUGAAAACCUUUUUUGUGCUCCUAAACAAAGAUGUUUGUGGCGGCUGAUACUGUAGCUGUGCUGCUAGCAGAUGUGCUUCAGCUCUGUUUGCAUGUUGUUUCUCUCCCUCAGAUUUACACCCAACAACUCUCCACUGCACCACGACUUUUCUAAAUUCUGCCGUUGUCUCCGGCUAUUGUUUAUUACUGUGCUACUUGCGAUUAUUGGAUCAACAAAUGCUGCAGUGUUGUACUUAUUGUCGGUCGCUGUGGCUCAGGGCUCGGCUUUAAUGGCCAGAUUGUUAUACUAAAUUGUAGCUGACACCUUUAUGUCCAGCCGUCCUAUCCCGGCCAGUCCUGCCCUCGAACGAUGUGAAUGAACUUUUCUGAACUUUGCCUUCUCUCUCCUCUCUAAAGGCCUGUCUGCUUCCUUCCAUUGUUCACCAUCACCCAGUGGAGACCGAACUUUACACGGCCAAGGACAUUUUUGUCUACAUUCGGGACCAUUGUAGUGAAUUUACAACAUGGUGCUGAAAGAGGAGGCGGGCCUGACCCAAGGUCAAGUAAGACGGAGAAAUAAUCUGACAGAGAGAACGUCAGUGUGUUUAAUCACACACACAGUGAAGCAGCUCUUUAAUGUGAAUGGGCAGCUGUUUGGUUUGAUGACGGCCCUCAGUGAGUGGCUUUGGCUCAAAGCAUCUGUGGUGAAGAAGUCAAUGAAAGUCAAUGAGACUGUUAAUUCCUCAAACUGUGUUUGCACAGCGUCUGCUGACCCCGCGGCCCCUCUGUGGAGCCUAGUGAGCGGCCAAUAAGAGAUGCUAAUGGCUUCGUUAGCGUGCUUGUUAGUGCCUGGAUGUGAUUAUUCAUAAUUUGAGAGACUGUUGACAAGGUCAGCAGGUCAAGUAGAGUUGAGCACCCUGGGAGAUGUUCCUCCUUAUCUCCUUACCUCGGAUCAACCUUUACCUCCUUCUCCUGGUGGAGUGGCGAUACCUGCGUGUUAAAAGUGGAUCAUUCACAAGGACUGGCCUGGAUCUUUGAACUGUAGACCACGAAGACAGAGUUUUCAAACAUUUGGACAAACACACCCAUGUGUGUGUUUGUUUGUGUAUGGACCCAGAUCGUCAGCACUGAUUGGACGUGCCACUGUGAUGGACUGUUUCUGCGGUCAGAUGCUACAGGUGAUGUCACUGUUCAAUGUUUUUAAAUAUUAACAACAACAUUGCUAUUUUUAUCAUUAACAUACCAAUUAUCACUCACAGUCUGUGUGGCUAGAGUAAUCAGUGAUGUCAUGAGCUGGCAUUUCUUCAGCCAAUGGUAAUAAAGCAGGGACGUUUCUCAGAAACCCGCAGGUCACAGAUAUGAGAUCAGUGACACAAACGGCAGAGACGGCUCCUGUUUUUCCAGGUAGUGCAACAGGCUUCACAGAACAAAGCUGUCAUUUUCGUUCCUCCUAGUAGUGCAGAUUCAGUAGAGACAUUACGGUUGGUUGGUGUGACCAAGAGCCAACAUGUUUGUCUGCCUGGGAUUGGCUGCUGACUUCCUGACAUUGUUCCUC